rnacentral:rRNA from 1 species
UACGAAGGGGCUAGCGUUGCUCGGAAUCACUGGGCGUAAAGGGUGCGUAGGCGGGUCUUUAAGUCAGGGUGAAAUCCUGGAGCUCAACUCCAGAACUCGCCUUUGAUACUGAAGAUCUUGAGUUCGGGAGAGGUGAGUGGAACUGCGAGUGUAGAGGUGAAAUUCGUAGAUAUUCGCAAGAACACCAGUGGCGAAGGCGGCUCACUGGCCCGAGUACUGACGCUGAGGCACGAAAGCGUGGGGAGCAACAGG